AAGAAAGCCCCUUACAAUGUGUAACAGGUGUUUUGUUAAGUUUAUUUAAUUCCACCAAAUUUUAUGUAAAUAGUCAUUUUUUUGAACAUUUCUACCUGGGUGUUAGUCUGUCCGAGGGUCCGUGAACUCACCACGGUGACGCAGCAGACAGUGCUGCACAUGCGCACUCAGACUGCUGCAAACUGUGGCCGAGGGGGAAGCACUAAUGAAAAAUCCCGGACAGCAGUGUAACGUGUGUGUUUUCUGUCAACCAGGUAUGAUGUUAGUUCUCAUUUUCUCAUGUUCUCUUUAUGUUUUAUUUCACGUGCUGUGGGGGGAGGCUGCACAUGCGCACUGAGACUGCUGCAAACUGUGGCCGAGGGGGAAGCACUAAUGAAAAAUCCCGGACAGCAGUGUAACGUGUGUGUUUUCUGUCAACCAGGCUUGAUAAUAAUUAAACAGAAUCAACAUCGGA